AGAGUUUGAUCCUGGCUCAGAUUGAACGCUGGCGGAAUGCUUUACACAUGCAAGUCGAACGGCAGCACGGAGAGCUUGCUCUCUGGUGGCGAGUGGCGAACGGGUGAGUAAUAUAUCGGAACGUGUCCAAUAAUGGGGGAUAACGAGUCGAAAGAUUCGCUAAUACCGCAUACGCCCUACGGGGGAAAGCAGGGGAUCGUAAGACCUUGCGUUAAUGGAGCGGCCGAUAUCUGAUUAGCUUGUUGGUGAGGUAAAGGCUCACCAAGGCGACGAUCAGUAGCUGGUUUGAGAGAACGACCAGCCACACUGGAACUGAGACACGGUCCAGACUCCUACGGGAGGCAGCAGUGGGGAAUUUUGGACAAUGGGGGCAACCCUGAUCCAGCCAUUCCGCGUGAGUGAAGAAGGCCUUCGGGUUGUAAAGCUCUUUCGCAAGGGAAGAAAACUUAUGAUCGAAUAAAUCAUGAGGUUGACGGUACCUUGAUAAGAAGCACCGGCUAACUACGUGCCAGCAGCCGCGGUAAUACGUAGGGUGCGAGCGUUAAUCGGAAUUACUGGGCGUAAAGCGUGCGCAGGCGGUUUUGUAAGUCGGAUGUGAAAUCCCCGGGCUCAACCUGGGAACUGCGUUCGAAACUGCAAGGCUAGAGUGUGUCAGAGGGGGGUAGAAUUCCACGUGUAGCAGUGAAAUGCGUAGAGAUGUGGAGGAAUACCAAUGGCGAAGGCAGCCCCCUGGGAUAACACUGACGCUCAUGCACGAAAGCGUGGGGAGCAAACAGGAUUAGAUACCCUGGUAGUCCACGCCCUAAACGAUGUCAACUGGUUGUUGGGAGGGUUUCUUCUCAGUAACGAAGCUAACGCGUGAAGUUGACCGCCUGGGGAGUACGGCCGCAAGGUUGAAACUCAAAGGAAUUGACGGGGACCCGCACAAGCGGUGGAUGAUGUGGUUUAAUUCGAUGCAACGCGAAAAACCUUACCUACCCUUGACAUGUCUGAAAUCCUGCAGAGAUGUGGGAGUGCUCGAAAGAGAAUCAGAACACAGGUGCUGCAUGGCCGUCGUCAGCUCGUGUCGUGAGAUGUUGGGUUAAGUCCCGCAACGAGCGCAACCCUUGUCAUUAGUUGCUACGAAAGGGCACUCUAAUGAGACUGCCGGUGACAAACCGGAGGAAGGUGGGGAUGACGUCAGGUCCUCAUGGCCCUUAUGGGUAGGGCUACACACGUCAUACAAUGGCCGGUACAGAGGGCUGCCAACCCGCGAGGGGGAGCCAAUCCCAGAAAACCGGUCGUAGUCCGGAUCGCAGUCUGCAACUCGACUGCGUGAAGUCGGAAUCGCUAGUAAUCGCGGAUCAGCUUGCCGCGGUGAAUACGUUCCCGGGUCUUGUACACACCGCCCGUCACACCAUGGGAGCGGGUCUCGCCAGAAGUAGUUAGCCUAACCGCAAGGAGGGCGAUUACCACGGCGGGGUUCGUGACUGGGGUGAAGUCGUAACAAGGUAGCCGUAUCGGAAGGUGCGGCUG
rnacentral:rRNA from 1 species